rnacentral:rRNA from 1 species
GAUGAACGCUAGCUACAGGCUUAACACAUGCAAGUCGAGGGGUAACGAGAGGAAAGCUUGCUUUCCUUGUCGACGACCGGCGCACGGGUGAGUAACGCGUAUCCAACCUGCCCCCAACUAAGGAAUAACCUUGCGUAAGUAAGACUAAUACCUUAUAAUUUCCUCAGAUGUCAUCUGGCGAGGAAUAAAGAUUUAUCGGUUGUGGAUGGGGAUGCGUCUGAUUAGCUUGUUGGCGGGUUAACGGCCCACCAAGGCAACGAUCAGUAGGGGUUCUGAGAGGAAGGUCCCCCACAUGGGGACUGAGACACGGUCCAAAAUCCGACGGGAGGCAGCAGUGAGGAAUAUUGGUCAAUGGGCGAAAGCCUGAACCAUCCAGGUAGCGUGCAGGAUGACGGCCCUAUGGGUUGUAAACUGCUUUUAUACAGGAAUAAAGUUAGCCACGUGUGGUUAUUUGUAGGUACUGUAUGAAUAAGGACCGGCUGAUUCCGUGCCAGCCGCCGCCGUAA